rnacentral:rRNA from 1 species
AUUGAACGCUGGCGGCAGGCCUAACACAUGCAAGUCGAACGGUAACAGGAAGCAGCUUGCUGCUUUGCUGACGAGUGGCGGACGGGUGAGUAAUGUCUGGGAAACUGCCUGAUGGAGGGGGAUAACUACUGGAAACGGUAGCUAAUACCGCAUAACGUCGCAAGACCAAAGAGGGGGACCUUCGGGCCUCUUGCCAUCGGAUGUGCCCAGAUGGGAUUAGCUAGUAGGUGGGGUAACGGCUCACCUAGGCGACGAUCCCUAGCUGGUCUGAGAGGAUGACCAGCCACACUGGAACUGGGACACGGUCCAGACUCCUACGGGAGGCAGCAGUGGGGAAUAUUGCACAAUGGGCGCAAGCCUGAUGCAGCCAUGCCGCGUGUAUGAAGAAGGCCUUCGGGUUGUAAAGUACUUUCAGCGGGGAGGAAGGGAGUAAAGUUAAUACCUUUGCUAAUUGACGUUACCCGCAGAAGAAGCACCGGCUAACUCCGUG